AAGAAGGCCUUGGCUUCGAAUCCCGGUCGUCCCGGUCGUUCCAGGUCCUUUCUGUGUGGAGUUUGCAUGUUCUCCUCGUGUCUGCGUGGGUUUACUCCGGGUACUCCGGUUUCCCCCACCAUCAUAAAGACAUGCACCGCAGCCUCACCCCGUGAGGAGGAUCGGCCACAUAAGACUGACUGAAGGGAGCUGUUAUGCAACACCCAUUGCAGCAAGAUGGCAGUCGCUGUGGGUUGGUGAACUCCACGGAUUCUCAUUUUUUAAAGCAUCACAUUGGGACUAACAGUAGAAUGACUGUGCUGAGGACGUGACCAAAUGAUUGGUUGGAAUUUAGAUUUUUUUCAAUAUCUCUGCACCAGAUUCCAGUCAAAUAAAAAAUGGCGUGUGUGUGUUUACAUGCAUACAAUUUG